rnacentral:lncRNA from 12 species
AACUUUAAAGAGAAAACAGAAGUGGAUGCUUUUGAAAACAUUGAGGUUUACAACCUUAUGUGUGAUUUGCUGCGUAUAACACCAGCAGAAAACAAUGGAACACAUGGCAGCUUGAAUCACCUUUUAAAGAAACCUUUUUACAAUCCUUCACAUCCAAAGGAAGUCUCAUCUCCCUCUUCAUGUCCAGUUUCCAGUUUGACCCCUGAAAAUGAGCUGGGAUGCAAAUGCAUGCAAGUAAAUAGGCGUUUCUGGCAUCUUUUAAUCAUCUUUGUCAAGUGUGUUCUGCUUUCUUUGUUUUUUUCUAAACAAUGGAUUAAUUUUGAAUGAUUCUCUCUAUUUUUUACAGAUUUCAAAUGAGACAGAAGAAAUGUCACUGAAUGAGAGGUUAAACCUCACCACAGAAGAAAGUAAGUAGCAAAAGAUGAAAAAGGCAGCAGUAUUUUUAAAUCUACACCUGGUUUAUA